UCCUGGUAGCUCAGAUGGUAAAGCAUCUGCCUACAAUGCAGGAGACUUGGGUUCGAUCCCUGGGUCAGGAA
rnacentral:tRNA from 1 species